CCUCAAGAUUCCGUGCAUAGCUGAGGCAGCAGAAAGUCACAUGCAUUAGUUAGGACACAGGCUAAACUGCUGUCAUGAAGACACUGAGAAAUGCCACUGUUGAGAUGAGAUUGUUUAUUCCUCUGCGGGGAGCAUUUCCUGGCAGGCCUGCGGCACCUGGCAGAUUGCCCAGAGCUGGUGACAACUCCCUACCCCCAUACUGCCUGCCUGCGUGAGAGAUUGGCCACAGCUGGCGAUGACCCUCUCCACUACCGCUUGGAUGCAUGUAAAUCAUGUGCAGAUAGUUCUAGUUUUCAAGCAGGUUUGUCCACAGUAACCCAGGAACCUUGUUGUAAACGCAGACUGCAGGCUCCAUUCUCUGCAAAUCCAGGUUCCACCUGGAAAGCCAUGGAAAAGGCCUUCACCUAUAGAGCUGCUGUCUAAUCUCCCCUAGAAGGCGUCUCUGCGCUCCGAGCCACGGCCACCACCAAGCCAAGUUCAAGCCAACCCCGAGACCAGCCAGAACUCCCUUUUCCACCUCGACCCUAGGCCAGAUCUAGCCCACAGACAGUCCAAGCCUCGUCACAGGUCUGGGGACCCCUGAUCCAGCUCCAGUGGCCCCGCACCUCAGACCGCACUUCCUCACACCCCCAGAGUGGUGGCCUGGGGCUGCCUUAUGGCCCAACACCUGCCCAGUGACUGGUGUAAGGUAAGCAUGGUCAAUUUCCCACAUCCUGCCUCCCCAAGUAG